AGCCCCCCCCUUCUGCCUCCCUCUCGUACGUCCACAAAGACGCGCAUUCACCUCCGAGCGGGAAACGGCCGCGUUUCAACAGCGAACCCUCCCAAGCACCUCGUAACUAUUUUUACAUAGCGUCAUUACAGCGACCUUGCCGGAGAUAAAACAGCUGUUACAUCCUGAGCGAGGGACUCACGCGGCGGGCGGCUGUUGAGCAAUUCCGGCCCGCAAGGCCGGCUCUCCGCUACCCUCGGCUCUGCCCAACGGGGAGGGCUGGGGGGAUGAGAGCUGAGUCACGCCGUUACCCGCCGCCCAACCGCCCUCGGUGCGUGCCCGCGUCCCGCAGAGCAGCUCCCGCCGCUCCUCCGGCCCCGCUUUUGUUUUUGUUUCUCUCUCUGUGUGUUUUUUAAAGUCCCGCUCCCCAGCUGUGAGGGCUGACUCUUGAAACCGGCGCUUUCAGCCGUCCGUGCUCGGUCGUGCCAAAAAAGUAACGACGGGGAGCGAACAAAAGACAUGUCAAGGAUCUGAGGAGGCGUUGCUGUAUGGCCCUGGGGCUGCUGACGAGUAGUGAACCAAACUCUUCCCUUUUUCUUCUGGCCAAGGGGGAAAAAUAACGCUUUACUCUCUCACCGAGCCGAAGCUUGUUUUUAAUAGCGCUCCUUCCAGCCUCCCAAGUACAACGUACCCACGGAGGAUUUUCUUUUUUACUUUUUUUUCCCCAAGUUGUUAGUAGAUGUAAGUGCUGAGGGGGUGUGUCCAUAGUUGAAACUACACGGAGAGACAGAAAGUGUCCAGUGCGCUGUGCAGUUUGGAUUGCAGCCCCCAGGACAAGGUUGGCAAAGCUGCAGUUUUAGUAUUACUUAAUCUGCUGGAGCUGUAUCAGCACUAAUAAUCAUAUCUCAUGCUGCUCCCCGAACAACUUUUGGCUUUUGUGCAGCUCCUUGGUGAAUAUCUCUGUCCUGUGGACAGCAAAACAGGAGUUGCUAUCGGGCACACCCAACCUUCACCUUUUCUUAUCCAUGACAUUGACUAAUCUCAGAAGUUCUGGAGGAAAAGGAGAGGCUGCAGAAGGCAGAGCCUCUUCUUUGUAACAUGUUGCACAGAACCUCGUGAAAAACCUGUUGGAAGUCUCAAUUAUGCCAACCAGCCGUGCCCUUAUAACUGGGAUGCAGUUUGCUAUCUCUGUAAAGGCAAAAACAGUAUUAUAGAUGUUACAGGGAGAAUGAAUUCUCUUCAGUGACCGGUCAGAUUUGCAGUGUGGAGGCGCAGCUUCAUCAGUUGGAAGGUAAAAUUGAGCUAUCUUAUUCACUGAGCAUUUAUAUACAAAGUACUUGACGGAAAGAUUCAUUUCCUGCUUGAGAGGCCCAGCAAACAGGAACAAAUGUAUAGAAUUAGGUAGUACUGCUUCUAUCUUGCAGGUGAUGCUGAUGAACUGCUACUUUCAGCUGGGUGGGGCAAUGAAAAGGGUAUUUUAUGUCUAGAAAAGAGUUACUUUUUUACUGCUGGAAAAGGCGUGUUGGGUUUUUAAAGUGAUAGGUAAUGGGUGUUGGCUACCUUUCUGUAAAAUCCUAGACAUUGCCUGAGGCUCUCAGCCUUCUGAAGGCAAAUGCACAUUGUGAUGAUUCGGGACAGUUCCUGUCUGGAGUUAUGAUUUAGAGAGUCUAAACCUGCAUGUGGCCAAGCCAAGAAGGAAACAACGAAAGAGCUGCAGUCCAAGGAAAUGAGUUUGACCAUGACCACAGCUUUGCUGAUUUAUUUAUUUAUUUUUAUUAUUAUUAUUAUUAUUAUUUUUCCCCUCUUUAUUCUUCCUUUAGAGAAGUUUGUAGCAAUUGGACUCCUACUUUCUCAGCCUCUGCACUUUAAUACUGGAGGAAAUAAGCCAGGUGUUUGUACUUGAGUUUAAACACAAAUGCUGAAGGGUUGCAGGUAAAGGAGGACUGAAUAGGGGAGGGAAACAGGAGUGUGGGUUAUCUACAGCCACUAUGGCUGAUGUUUCUGAGUGUGAAUGGUGUUUGCAGGGUCUAUGUAGUGUGCCCUUCCUAUGUGUGUUCAUCAAAUCCAGCACUUCUCAGGACAAGCUUUGGAUGUACAGAGGCCAGCCUGAUAGAUGAAAAGGGCUACCUCUCACUGAAAUAAGCCCAUCUGGCCAAUAAUAAUCUAAACACCAUGAGGAAAAAACACAUGUGAAUGGCAACCUGUCAGCAAGCAAUUUUCCAUGUCAGAAAUGCACUUGUGGUCACACGGAUCUCAAGAUGCAAUGACUCCAUGGAUGUCUAUCUCAUGGACCGUGUGGGACUUGUGACAACAUUAUAGGAUUUGUUGGUGUUGUUAAUGAUAAUCUUCAUUACUAGGAUCUUUUUGGGGACACAGUCAUCUCAGAUGCAAGAAAUCACACCCAAGGACAUUCUUGGUCUUUCAUUGGUGCUCAGUGGCCUGCAAAAUUAGGUGUUAAAGAACACUUACCUGUGGGUCUAGUCCUGCAUUAGGCAGAACCAGGCUGAUCUUCCAAAGAAAUGUGUAGUAACUGCCCUGGAACUUUGGGAUAUGAUGGUGGUGGGUUAUGAGACACUGACAUGUAAGCAGUUGAGUUGGGAUCCUCAAUGUGAGUGCAUUUUCAGCCUGACUGAAAGCAGCCUUGGACUGAAAACUGGGUUAGUGGUGUGUGUAUUUCAUGCCUUGAUAAGAAGGGGACCCUUAAGAAAGAAGUGAAGCUAGGUGAACAAACUGUAUCCUUACAGAGCAAAUGCAAAUCUUUAUAUAGCUGUUAAUUGUAUGUUGACCUGAUAGGUGUUAAGACCCUUAAAUCUGUGUCAUCCAUCCAUCUUUUGCAGCUAAGAAGCACGAUGAGAGCAAAACAUCCUAAAAGCAGCACUAGGCUCUCUUAUACCUACCCCACCCCACUAUCACUUAAUGAGGUGUGACAAAAGCUGACAAGUUCAUUAGUCUCUUGAGUUGGAAUUGAAUCACCUGGAUGCUAACAGUUUUGUGUGGGAUGCUCAAAUGGCAGAGGAUCUGACAUCAGCUGUUCAGAGAGAAACACAGCUGUGGAGCUGUCUGAUUAACUGGUUUGUCCUGAAAUGUGUAUUGGAAGACUACAACAUGUUUGAGUGACUUAUGUUGAGCUGUUUACAACUUUUCAAGGAGCUACUUGUCUCUUACUUGUGUGUGCUUAAGGCACAUUAUUGACAUCUAAGUCUUCAAUUUUUGUGCUGAUGAGUCUGAAGACACAAAAUCAAAGCAAACUGCAUAUUGCUGGUCCUUGCUAGUGUUUCUGUAUAAAAAUCAUCUUAAAUUGAAAUAUUUUAAUUGACUGAGUAACUUCACUUCUUAGCCCUAAAUGUUAAACAAAACCUUUAAAAGUUGCAAUAAAAUAAAAUAAAAUAAAAU